GUAAUAAAUGAAACGACACGUCGAGGGAGAAAAAUCUUAACUUAUGAAGUGGUGCGUAUCGUCUCAGACUUAACCAAAACGAGAUCCUCCUCUGCCAUUCCCUUCUCUUCUCUUCUCUUAUAUUCUCUUGCAUCAGAACCCGUCCUCUAGCCAAAGACGACGUCUUCUGCCAUUCCCUUCUCUAUCGUUCUCCUCGGCUCCAACUGUAAAAAAGAAAUCAGGCAGACAAGUAGAGACCUUCUGCACUUGGAGCGCCAGAACCCCUCCACCACACCACUGGAGUCCUAUGCUGGGUGUUGGAGAGCUCUGACGAUGUGGUUGCGACCAUGGCAGCGGCCGUGACAACUCAAGCAGGCGCCGAGGCUAACGACGUUAGAUCAAACUCCAGUGAAGAAGAUAAGGAUGACCGAAGUAAUUACUGUGGAAACCGGUGGCCAUGACAGGAAACUUUGGCACUCUUGAAGAUACGGUUGGAUGCGGAUAUGAGCUUCAGGGAUGCAAAUGUUUAAAUGACUUAUUCAUGUUUAUCUUUAUCUUCAUCUUCACAUUUGUAUAAUGUUUCUAAAUUCAUCUACAUUAACUUAUGCAUCUCUAAAUUUUUAUAUAAUUAUGAAUAGUGCUUCAUU